CCUACGGGGGGCAGCAGUGAGGAAUAUUGGUCAAUGGCCGAGAGGCUGAACCAGCCAAGUCGCGUGAGGGAAGAAUGUCCUAUGGAUUGUAAACCUCUUUUGUCAGGGCGCAAAGUCACCCACGUGUGGGUGUUGGCGAGUACCUGCUGAAAACGCAUCGGCUAACUCCGUGCCAGCAGCCGCGGUAAUACGGAGGAUGCGAGCGUUAUCCGGAUUUAUUGGGUUUAAGGGGUCCGUAGGCGGGCGGUUAAGUCAGCGGUCAAAUGUCGGGGCUCAACCCCGGCCUGCCGUUGAAACUGGCGGCCUCGAGUGGGCGAGAAGUAUGCGGAAUGCGUGGUGUAGCGGUGAAAUGCAUAGAUAUCACGCAGAACUCCGAUGGCGAAGGCAGCAUACCGGCGCCCGACUGACGCUGAGGCACGAAAGCGUGGGUAUCGAACAGGAUUAGAUACCCCAGUAGUC
rnacentral:rRNA from 1 species